rnacentral:lncRNA from 1 species
AUCUCCACCUUCCUGCAUCCGAAGGCUGUACAGUCUCUUCUUCAACAUCAGCUUGUUGCACAUAUUUUUUUUCAUAUACAUGGUGUGCAACUUCAACCACAAACCUUUUGGGGUCCUCUCCUCUAAUACCAAAUAGAGCACUGCAUUUGCCAAACAUCCUCUAAUCACAGAACAAACCUUCUUCUCCAGGAACAUCCACUG